rfam:Desulfotomaculum kuznetsovii DSM 6115, complete genome.
GGGAUGGUAUCCCCGCGGGAACCAUACCUUUUAUUAAGAGUACCUCUAAAACCAAAUACGUUUUGCCGCUUGGAGCCGGGAAGGACCGAGACGGAGGU